rnacentral:tRNA from 1 species
AAAUAAGAAGCAAUAUAUGCAUUUAGUUUCGACCUAAAAAUUUAGUGAUAUUUCACUCUUAUUUU